rnacentral:rRNA from 1 species
AUGUGCAAACAGUGGCUAUGGUGGCUCAAAGGGAAGCAGCGGCUGCUCCAUGGAAACACGCAACUUAGUGAUGUACUUUUUGUUUCUAGAUUUUGUUCACUCUCAUUAAAUUUUAAGCAAGAAUAUCCACUACCCUACAAAAAGUUCUUCCAACAAAUAUUUUUGUGUGUGCAGCUAAGAUCAAUCUUCCUAUUCAUUCAUUGCACGCUGUUAUUCUGCAGGACCGGCGAAGCGCAAGGUCAUGUACAAGGGAUAAGCUGGUCAAUGAAGGAAAUUCUAAAAGAAAGCGACUACAAGCAACAUUUGAAGUGA